rnacentral:misc_RNA from 1 species
GACCGCGCCGACUUCCUCCGCCUCAACUCACCGGAGAUCCGCGCCGUGGUGGGCAACGCCACCGUGGGGGCGGACGCGGCGAUGAUCGACGCGCUGCAGGCGCUGGAGAUCGUCGCCUUGUACAGCGUCGGGCUCGAUAAGGUGGAUCUCGCCCGGUGCAGGGUGCGGGGGAUCAGGGUUACCCACACCCCGAAUGUUCUCACCGAUGAUGCGGCUGAUCUAGCGAUUGGACUGGCUAUCUCCGUGUUGCGCCGGAUCGGCGGGGCUGAUCGUUAUGUCCGGGCUGGGGAAUGGAAGGCGAAGGGGGACUACAGGCUUGCGUCGAAGUUCAGUGGCAAGACAGUAGGCAUACUCGGGCUCGGAAGGAUUGGUUUAGCCGUUGCCAGGAGAGCUGAAGCAUUCGGCUGCCACAUUUGCUACUGUUCGAGAUCACCGAAGCGAAACGUAAACUACAAGCACUACCCAACUGUUGUCGAGUUGGCUGCCAACUGUCAUGUGCUCGUAGUGGCAUGCUCAUUGACCAAGGAAACCCGCCACAUCAUCAACCGAGAGGUGCUGGAUGUUUUGGGUCCGAAGGGUGUGCUGGUGAAC